CAUUUGAAGUCAUUCUAAAAAAUUAAUUCUUUUUUUUUGUCAUUGCAUAGAGCUCUGCUUGUCACAAUAAUUAAACAAUAAAAUUCAGCUACCUGAUAACCUCAACCUCAACAUAUAUCCCAUAUCGAGCCAGAGUAAUUCACAUCAUAAUAAUUUAUAAAGCAACAAUAGUCAAUUUUAAUUGCAAUAAAUAAUUGCAGCUGCAUUUGGCAGGCGAAUAGAAAAUGUUUCUAAAUCAUAGUCACGCUGGUCGCAAAUCAAAAACAGACAAAGAGCUUGCAUCAUUUAAAGCUGGAUAAAUAAUUGAAUCGCAUGGCUAAAAAUCUGUAAAUGCAAUGCCAGUGGGCUGGGAGCAUAAUAAAGAGCAAUUGCUAAUGGCAAAUGCAAAUUUGACUUUUGUCCCGAUGCAGUCAGCUAUUCGACCUCGUUAUAACAGCCAGCAGUAGCAGCAGCAGCAACCGUUGACCACAUGGCUUUCAACAAUUGUGGCUGCCACCAGCUACUGCCCAGCCCAGCUCUCUAUCAACACUUUUGUGAAAUUCAGCAUUUUUGAAAAGUUGCCAUAAGUCUGAAACGGGGUAAAAUGGCUUUUUCAUGAACUUGUGAUGACGUUUCUAAGCCUGCCCAUUCAGUUUCUCUCUCUCCUCCUCACUCUAUAUUUCCCAGCUGUGAU